CUGAGAUGCUGGUCCCGAAUAGCUGCCGUGAGGCAGACAGGUUUGCUACUUGUGGGCUCCUUGCCACACCAAAACAAUAGUUAACCACAAUCUACACAUCUCUAAUUCCCAGUUUAUUCAUAAUAGUCAAGAUUGUAGAAGGAAUUGUUGGCUUUGAGAUCCAUCCCAAGUAAUUCUCAUCCCUUGGGAGUGAGCGGGAUGGGUAUGGCAGGACACGGAACCAAUAUCCGCUCACCAAGGAUGUCUCCUUCUUCCCUCACAUGACACAGAGUUUAUCAUCAUUAUUACUUUUUUUUUUUUUUUUUUAUUAAAGUGAGAGGACUAUUUAUUUUUAUCAUGAGAGGUGGUGUGCUACCUUGUCUCAGCUACCCUAUUUCAAAGGAAUAUCUCAGUUUGGUAGUUACAUACAUUACUUGUAUCAAACCUACUAAUACAGCAACACAAAAUAUGUU